rnacentral:lncRNA from 1 species
AUGCCCCUGUUGUAGCGGUCCAAGUCAGAUGGUUGAUUGAUGAUGGUGCUUCGGUCGAUGUGAGUCAGGAGACUUAGAUAUCCAAUCACUGCUCUCUUAAUGGCCGAUCUUUGUCAACUCCGAGGUGGAUGACCGUCUGUGGGUUUGUGACUUGAUUGAUGAUGAGGGUAGGUACUGGAGGAGGCAGCUGGUCAUUCAUCUUUUUGGAGAGCAGCUCGUUGAGAGGAUUCUCGCCAUCCUGAUUCCUAUCUAUCGGAGUCAUGAUGUGAAGGUAUGGGGGCGAUCGUGCCGACCUAUGGUGUCGACUAGAGACUUUGCUGAUAUGUACAGACCUAGGCCACA